ensembl:lncRNA
CUAGAACGGAACUGUGGGAAGUUCUAAGAAAGUGCAGUGUUCGGAGGUGACGCUCCAAAUUUCCUGAGGACGCUCAGGAUUUUCCGUUGGACGGGAUAGUCCGAUUGGCAAUCGUGGACAACUGGGGACGGUCCAAAAUAGCUACUGAUUGGAUCAGUUGACCGUUUGGAACGGUGUUUGCACUUUUUUUGGGUAGUAAAGGUUGGACCUUGGGCGUUGGACGCUUUUAAAUUUACUUAGGAACUUUAGCAAUUAGACCAGACACAGGUUGGACCUGAUACUGGGUCAUUGAUUAUCAAAAACUUGGAGUUUGUCCCUUGGAGGGUUAAUUCAAAUUUUGUCUAAAUUAUGUAGGUUGUGCAAUUUAAGGCCUUGUAAAUAUUAUUUAAUUUAUCAGACGUCUCUGUGUUAUAAUUUCUAUGUUUGUAUAUAGGCUCUGUCUGCCACGGGCACUGCAGCAGGCUGGUUAUUUUGAGAUUGUGUGUCUGUGUCUAUGUAAAUGAGAUGCCUGUGACUUAUUUAGAGUGACAUUUCCUGUUUACUAAUGAGUGGCUAAUGACUGACUGCAGAGCCAGGGUUAAGGACGACUUCAAUCUGUGUUUUAAGGGAAGAAAUGCAGUUUAUGUUUAUUAUAUUUGUGUGACUGUUGUUGAUUAUGAUAAGUAUUUCAUGAUAACUGUAGAAUAUGAGUAUGGGGUUUGCUUGACACGUGUCUGUACUAGGUAAAACGGUGUAAGACUGAUAGGAAGUUUAUAGAGACUGCUAGAAAUUGCUGAUGCAUGUACUUAAGACGCUGGUUUUGUUUAUUACAAUAUGUAAGUAAAGUUUUAUUUCUUGCCAGGACUGUAUGACUUUUUGCGGGGUUUUGAGAUAGGAUACAUAAACUGUUGAUACUUAAGACCGUUACCUGGGUUCUGAGAACUGAAAUUGAAUUUGAGAUAAUUUAAUUAAUAAAGAUGUCUGUAAGCGAUGUGUGUUUUGGGGUGUCGAAGUAAGAUGUUUUAGGAUUUUUAGAUGGGUUUUGUUUCAGUUUGAGAUAAUAUAUACAGUUACAUUUUCUGUGUGUGUGUUGUUGAGUGACAACAUGCGUAGUUUAAAUUGGGCGCUGUUCCUUCCUCUUUUUAGUUUCAAAACACAAAGGCUGUGAGAUUAAAAAUUACUGUGAGUAACGGUUUGACUUUUGACUAGGGACAUAAUAUGCUUACUUUUGGGUCUAUGAAGAUAUUUGACCUUCAGUGAUGUUAUGAGAGGUUUCAGUUUUCUUUUUCUUUUUUCUUUUGACUUGCUCUUUCUGAUCAUGGAAGGCAUGUCCAAAAUACUCGUAUGAAAGCGUAUUUCGUGUGAUUUUAACUGUGUGAAUGCUGUCAGUAUUUGAUUUGAGUGACUCUGCGUGAGUUGUCUGAGUGAGAGAAAAGGCAGUGUGUGUGAGACGAUUCAUGGCGUCUGAAAGAGGUUAGAACCUUUAAAAGUGUGUAUGAAACAAUGGUAUGAAAAGGAUAUUUCUUUUGUGAUGUAAAGUAGGAUGUUCUAAAGUUUGAAAGUGCUUUUAAUUCAAGAAAUGCAUGAGUGAUGAUAUGAGAGGGUGAGUUUCUUUUCUCUCAGUUCAAAAACACAUAAGUAUAUACACUUGGUUAAUUGUUUGGAUGUGUGAAAGAGCUCUGUUUAAAUGUGUGUGAGUGAAA